UUGUAAUUUCGUUGUCUCCCAGUCGUCGCUCGAGUCGAGAGGUUAGUGGCGACUGAGAGUCGUCCACGAGCGCGAAGGGUUAAGAGCGCUCGUGUUCGCGUAUCCUAGAUGAAAACGUUCGGCGUCGUUAUCUGAAUUGGACGGUGACCUAUGCUCGACAGAGGUGUACUGAAAGGCAGCGAGCGAAACGAGGCUUUGGAUAUCAAACUGGCCAGCGCCUGUUGAUAUUAGCAUUUAUUUAUAUCUCCUGACCUCAAAUAUGUGUAACGUGGCUCCCCUCCACCUCGUGACAGGCUUGGCUGUACACGCACGCCUCCGUUUUCGAGGUUACGGUGCGAGCUGAUAUCGAGUUCCAUCAAAUUCUGUCCGAAGGCGUAACACUGGUGGCUUCUUCGCGAUAACGUUCGCUCGUUUUCGAGUGAAACCUCCACGAGCAUCCACACGUGCUGGAUAUACGCACACGAUCGACAUCCUGAACGAUGAGGGAUCGAUAGGAGUGGGUAUCGAUGAUGUACGUACACACGACGCCUGGCUACUUAAUAGGGAGAAAGGUGGUCGAUAGAAAUAAUAUAACGACGUUAUAUAACGAGAGGUAGUUAACAAUGGAGGCGGAAGCGAUAGAUACUGGUGGUACUCAAGGAACUCGAUAAGGAAGUACUUGGUGAGUAGUACAUCGAUAUACUUGGUAUCAACUUUCGAUAUUGAUAGCGUUUUAGCGAACCUGUACAGAAUAUUCGAUCGAUACCGUCACUGUAUGAUACACAGUAGAUACCAGUCGAAGCGACGCGACGCAUAUCGACGAUAUUCGACCAAUUGAAUACUAAAAUACUCGACGGAGAGACUUCUGUAACGACGAAUACCAAACUCGGUACCAAAUACAAGCGCGAUACCCUCAUCGUCUCGCGGACCAAGCCAACAAUUUACAUAAUUUACGAUGGAACCACGAUUCAUAGCGCAACCAUAAUUCGUACCACUAGCGAUGCUAUAAUUUACGGUCUGCUAUCGACAGAAUUGAAUCGAUAACGUCCCCAUCCCAGCUAGACACCCCAGGAACACUCGACGCUUCCAACGUUUCCACCCAAGGACAUCAUCGCAUCGGAAAUGUUAUCUCGCGCUCGAUACGGGUCCCCAUCGGUCGAUACACUCGCGACGAAAGCCUAACACGAUGCUUAAUUAUUUUUUAUUCGCCACCAGCUCGAUCGGGAAAACGGAAUAGUCUCCUUAAAUUCGCACGCGCGGGACUGAACUUGCGCGAUUUCCGUAGAGAGCUUUGAACGUAGAAAAAGAAGGACAGCGAAUAAAGAAGAGGACGGAGCUAAAACACCAGGGUACGACCAGACGAGACGUACCGUGUGUACAAUGAAGUAUUCAUAGGCGGCUAAUGUGGAACAGAAGGAAAGCCAGAACGGCGAAACAGCCAAGGAUAAGUGGAAUAGCCGCGGUUGCUCCGAAACAGAUACGGAGAUAAACCUUCACCAGUCGCGCUGGCCACGAUACGAGCAGCGGCGAAUGCUUGGCAACCGCCGUUCAUGAAAUCGCUCUAUUGUCCUGCUGUGUUGGCCGGAGUCGUUGCGGAAACCGCCGGGGAAAAUGUGCUCCAUUUUUUCGAAAAUUCAUAAAGCAAUAAAGUCUUGAGUUUCUGUGACUUCUUCGUGGGAAAAUUGUAC